rnacentral:tRNA from 4 species
GGGGGCGUAGCUCAGUUGGUUAGAGCGCUGGCCUGUCACGCCAGAGGCCGCGGGUUCAAGUCCCGUCGCUCCCG